rnacentral:rRNA from 1 species
GAUGAACGCUGGCGGCGUGCCUAAUACAUGCAAGUCGAGCGAACAGAUGAGGAGCUUGCUCCUCUGACGUUAGCGGCGGACGGGUGAGUAACACGUGGAUAACCUACCUAUAAGACUGGGAUAACUUCGGGAAACCGGAGCUAAUACCGGAUAAUAUAUUGAACCGCAUGGUUCAAUAGUGAAAGACGGUUUUGCUGUCACUUAUAGAUGGAUCCGCGCCGCAUUAGCUAGUUGGUAAGGUAACGGCUUACCAAGGCAACGAUGCGUAGCCGACCUGAGAGGGUGAUCGGCCACACUGGAACUGAGACACGGUCCAGACUCCUACGGGAGGCAGCAGUAGGGAAUCGUCCGCAAUGGGCGAAAGCCUGACGGAGCAACGCCGCGUGAGUGAUGAAGGUCUUCGGAGCGUAAAACUCUGUUAUUAGGGAAGAACAAAUGUGUAAGUAACUAUGCACGUCUUGACGGUACCUAAUCAGAAAGCCACGGCUAACUACGUG